UUUGCUCACAGAUCAUUAUUAACAUUCUGUAUAUAAUUCAAUUUUAUUUACUCUCCCCUUUUUAUUAUUUUUAUUUUUAUUUUUAGCUGAAAAGACAUAAAGGCAGUCAGCCCAGUGGUGUUUCUGGAGAGGGAUUCCUUCAGAAAUGGAGAAGACAGAAAGCUGCGGAGGCAGAUAUAUGCAGCAUGUUCGAGUGAGCAUGAUGACCACAAGUGUGUGUCGAACUUUUCAUGACCUGAUGACUGUGUUUCCCAAUCCUGAUCCUGGAGAACCCCAGCACUGCACGGUUUUGGUGUCUCUCUUAUCUGCCUUGGAGUCUUCACUGAUGAGCUGAUGAGUUGAAUCAGGUCUAAAAUAUCAAGCUCAACAACUCACUCAAGAGCCAACCCUCACAAACCUUCCUAAAAACUAAAAGAGCUAUUACUGAGUCUCAGCGAAUCUUGCCAUGAUCAGCUCUUCCCAGAAGAGAAGGAAGACCAAGGAAAUGAUUUGCUCAGGAUGAGGAAUGAAGAUGGCCAUCUUGUGCUCAAACAAACAGAAGUCCACUGAUGAUCUCAUCAGCCAAAUGAGGGGUUUUGACCAAGUGAUGCUCUUGAAAGGAGUGAAAGAAGAGGAUGUGCUAAAUUCUCUUCAGAGAAAAAGCUUCUCAAAAGGUCUUAAAACAGCUUGAAGAAUGGUAAGUGUACAGUACUACAAGGGUCAUAGUUGCUCACACUGCUAAAAUCACACAGAACAUAAGCUGAGCUCUCUGUCCAUUAAACAACUUCAUCUGGAUUGUUUGUUUCACUUUGACCAGGUCUGGGAUCUUAGAACUGAGAGAUCCUCUGGCUGAGGACAAGCUACACCACAUCAGUGCUGGAUAUCAACCACAAACUGUUUCCAGACACGAGAGAAGAAGAACACGAUGGGGAGAUGAAACCAGUUUAGAUGUGAUGAUGGGAAUCAUUAUUUUCUGGAACAGUAUCACAUGUCUUAUAUGUAUCACAUGAUCUGUAUCACAGUUGACUGGAUGGGACUGUGUGACUUUUAAGGACAUUUCAUCACUCAUCUGUGUGAACUGAUUUAUAUAUGAGGUUAAUGUAUUUUUGAUGAUAAUUAUUUUCAUUGAAUCUUAUUCGUCUUGAUGCUACUUUAUCAACUUUAUAGUCUAUGCUUCAAUAAAAUGAAAAUGGUGAA